rnacentral:rRNA from 1 species
AUGCACGCUGGCGGCGUGCUUCACCCAUGCCGGUCGAACGGUGAAGGCGGAGCUUGCUCUGCUGGAUCAGUGGCGAACGGGUGAGUAACACGUGAGCAAUCUGCCCCUGACUCUGGGAUAAGCGCUGGAAACGGCGUCUAAUACUGGAUACGAGCUGCGAAGGCAUCUUCAGCAGCUGGAAAGAACUUCGGUCAGGGAUGAGCUCGCGGCCUAUCAGCUUGUUGGUGAGGUAACGGCUCACCAAGGCGUCGACGGGUAGCCGGCCUGAGAGGGUGACCGGCCACACUGGGACUGAGACACGGCCCAGACUCCUACGGGAGGCAGCAGUGGGGAAUAUUGCACAAUGGGCGAAAGCCUGAUGCAGCAACGCCGCGUGAGGGACGACGGCCUUCGGGUUGUAAACCUCUUUUAGCAGGGAAGAAGCGAAAGUGACGGUACCUGCAGAAAAAGCGCCGGCUAACUACGUG